UCCCCCGCCCCCCACCCAGCAGGAGGCCUGAGGCCAAGCUGUUUUUUUUUUUUUUUUUAAAAAGUGCACAGGCCGGCUGCAGCGGCUAAGUGGAUUAGAAGAGGGUUGCGCGCCUCCAGCCUGCCCUUGGCGGCGGGCGACGGGCACGCAGGCUGGAGGCGCGCCGGCGUGAUUCCGACCGCGGGAGCCGGGAGGAGGAGCCGGAGGUGGCUGCGGGGGGCUCCGGCCCAGGCGUAGGAAGGGCAAGAGGCGGUUCGGGCCGGGGGCGGUGCCAGGAGAAAAGCUACGAGUCUCCAAGCUGACCCAGGAUCACCCCUUGCUCGGAGAAGGGGAUGUCUCAGAGCCCAGGGAUGGGCGGGAAGGGACCAUGGGGAGCCACAAGUCUGCACCCAGGCGGGGAGUGGGCGAGCGAGAGCCGCUCCGCAGGCGCAGGCAAGUGGGUGGGAAGGAGGGAGGGAGAGGGAGGAAGGAGGUGAGCCGGGAAGAUGCCACUGCCGGGGGCGGGGCGGGGCCGGGGAUCCGGCAGAAGGACUGCAGCAAUGUUUGGUGGGGGCGGGGGCUGCAAUGUCACUCAUUUUGGGGUCAGGUGCGUGUGUCCCAGGCAGGGCCCUCCACUUGUCUGCUGCUCUUAGGUACCACCCAGAGUUUUAGUAAGGGCGGAGGGAAGAGGGGGGAGCUGCAGAGUCGUCCCUGAAGCGGGACGCGAACCAGCAGAGUUGGGAGAAGGUAAACAAGGGCCACGCCCCCUGCCGUCGCCCCGCGAGCGCGCACCCGCCGCUCCGGCCGUCGCCGGUACAUUUCCACUCUCGCGGUGCCUCUCCCCCACCGGACUCCCGCGCAGCACCGGAGAGCUGCUGUCCACUACCCCAGUAUGCACCCUGGCUGCCUGGACUGCGCACCCAGCACUCACCUGGGAACGUUGUCCCCCGCCCCUUAAGAAGAAAAAAAAAAAAAA